AACUACUUCUUUUGUAGUAAUUGUCCGUAUAUUGAUAUGGCAGUUACUAAUAACAUGAACUAAAACUGAAUGAAAUCUUUCUGAUGAUCUUUUUAGAGGACCUAUUAAACUAGUACAGCAUCAUAAGCAGCUGUCAGACCUUUAAAGAGCUUCGACAACAACUAACAUUUCUGCUCAAGCAAAAGCACUCUGUAUCACUUCGGUGACGUGAACGGUGCUGUUUGGAUAUGAAAGCAGAGAAGCCUGACAGGAGGGUAUGAUAAACUCAUGGAUAAAAUACAUAACUCCAUAUAAUAAUUGCAGUUUGAUUUGAAACACAGAAAAGGACUUCGAAACACAGAAAAGGACUUCAGGACCAUCAGACUGUUUCCUGCACAUAACUCUGCAUUUACAGAAGGCUAAAAGAAGUUUCAGCCAUUGAAUAGCCUCCUUCCAAUUUCUAUUAAAAACA